UACGAGUGGCGCAAACGUUAUUCGGAUUUACUGGGCCUAAAGAGUUCGUAGGCGGCGCAGCAAGUAGGGCGUGAAAGCCCUCGGCUCAACCGAGGAAUUGCGCUCUAAACUACUGUGCUUGAGGAAGCUAGAGGUGAGCGGAACUGAUGGUGGAGCGGUGAAAUGCGUUGAUAUCAUCAGGAACACCGGAGGCGAAGGCGGCUCACUGGGGCUUAUCUGACGCUGAGGAACGAAAGCCAGGGGAGCGAACGGG
rnacentral:rRNA from 1 species